rnacentral:rRNA from 1 species
CCCUUAGAUGUUCUGGGCCGCACGCGCGCUACACUGACGAAUGCAACGAGCUUAUAACCUUGGCCGAAAGGUCUGGGUAAUCUCCAAAUUUCGUCGUGAUGGGGAUAGAUUAUUGCAAUUAUUCAUCUUCAACGAGGAAUUCCUAGUAAACGCAAGUCAUCAGCUUGCAUUGAUUACGUCCCUGCCCUUUGUACACACCGCCCGUCGCACCUACCGAUUGAAUGGUCCGGUGAAAUUCUCGGACGCGGACUAGCGAUGUUAAUUCGGAGCUUGACUGUGAAAGUUAAUUAAACCUUACCAUUUAGAGGAAGGUGAANUCGUAACA